GGUCCCAUCGUCUAGUGGUUUAGGACGCCGGCCUCUCACGCCGGUAACGCGGGUUCGAAUCCCGCUGGGAUCACCA
rnacentral:tRNA from 4 species